AUUGAACGCUGGCGGCAGGCUUAACACAUGCAAGUCGAACGAUGAAGAUAUAGCUUGCUAUAUCGGAUUAGUGGCGGACGGGUGAGUAACACUUAGGAAUCUACCUUUUAGCGGGGGAUAGCUCGGGGAAACUCGAAUUAAUACCGCAUAAUUUCUACGGAAUAAAGAGGGCUUUUAGCUCUCACUAGAAGAUGAGCCUAAGUAAGAUUAGCUAGUUGGUGGGGUAAAAGCCUACCAAGGCGACGAUCUUUAGCUGGUCUGAGGGGAUGAUCAGCCACACUGGGACUGAGACACGGCCCAGACUCCUACGGGAGGCAGCAGUGGGGAAUAUUGGACAAUGGGGGCAACCCUGAUCCAGCCAUGCCGCGUGUGUGAAGAAGGCCUUUUGGUUGUAAAGCACUUUAAGCAGUGAAGAAGACCUAUUGGUUAAUACCCAAUAGUGAUGACAUUAACUGCAGAAUAAGCACCGGCUAACUCUGUGCCAGCAGCCGCGGUAAUACAGAGGGUGCAAGCGUUAAUCGGAAUUACUGGGCGUAAAGCGAGCGUAGGUGGUUAAAUAAGUCAGAUGUGAAAGCCCUGGGCUCAACCUAGGAACGGCAUCUGAAACUAUUUAACUAGAGUAGGUGAGAGGGAAGUAGAAUUUCAGGUGUAGCGGUGAAAUGCGUAGAGAUCUGAAGGAAUACCGAUGGCGAAGGCAGCUUCCUGGCAUCAUAUUGACACUGAGGCUCGAAAGCGUGGGUAGCAAACAGG
rnacentral:rRNA from 1 species